rnacentral:rRNA from 1 species
GAUGAACGCUGGCGGCGUGCCUAAUACAUGCAAGUCGAGCGAACAGAUGAGAAGCUUGCUUCUCUGAUGUUAGCGGCGGACGGGUGAGUAACACGUGGGUAACCUACCUAUAAGACUGGGAUAACUCCGGGAAACCGGGGCUAAUACCGGAUAAUAUUUUGAACCGCAUGGUUCAAUAGUGAAAGACGGUUUCGGCUGUCACUUAUAGAUGGACCCGCGCCGUAUUAGCUAGUUGGUAAGGUAACGGCUUACCAAGGCGACGAUACGUAGCCGACCUGAGAGGGGGAUCGGCCACACUGGAACUGAGACACGGUCCAGACUCCGACGGGAGGCAGCAGUAGGGAAUCUUCCGCAAUGGGCGAAAGCCUGACGGAGCAACGCCGCGUGAGUGAUGAAGGUCUUCGGAUCGUAAAACUCUGUUGUUAGGGAAGAACAAAUUUGUUAGUAACUGAACAAGUCUUGACGGUACCUAACCAGAAAGCCACGGCUAACUACGUGCCAGUCGCCGCCGUAA